UACGAAGGGGGCUAGCGUUGCUCGGAAUCACUGGGCGUAAAGCGCACGUAGGCGGACUCUUAAGUCGGGGGUGAAAUCCUGGAGCUCAACUCCAGAACUGCCUUCGAUACUGAGAGUCUUUGAGUUCGGGAGAGGUGAGUGGAACUGCGAGUGUAGAGGUGAAAAUGCGCAGAUAUCAGGAGGAAACACCGGUGGCGAAGGCGGGGUCUCUGGGGCCGAUACUGACGCUGAGGAGCGAAAGCGUGGGGAGCAAACAGG
rnacentral:rRNA from 1 species